rnacentral:tRNA from 1 species
GCAUCCGUGGCUCAGCGGCUAGUGCUCCAGACUGUAAAUCAGGAAGUAGGGGUUCAAUUUCCCUUCAAACCCA